rnacentral:rRNA from 1 species
GACGAACGCUGGCGGCGUGCCUAAUACAUGCAAGUCGAACGAGAGCGAACGGUGCUUGCACUGGUCAAUCUAGUGGCGAACGGGUGAGUAACACGUGGGUAACCUGCCCAUCAGAGGGGGAUAACAUCCGGAAACGAAUGCUAAAACCGCAUAGGUCUUCGAACCGCAUGGUUUGAAGAGGAAAAGAGGUGCAGGCUUCUGCUGACGGAUGGCCCAGCGGCGCAUUAGCUAGUUGGCCGGGCAACGGCGCACCAAGGCCGGGAUGCAUAGCCGACCUGACAGGGUGAUCGGCCACAUUGGGACUUGGACACGGCCCAAACUCCUACGGGAGGCAGCAGUAGGGAAUCUUCCGCAAUGGACGCAAGUCUGACGGAGCAACGCCGCGUGAGUGAAGAAGGUUUUCGGAUCGUAAAACUCUGUUUUUAGUUAAGAACAAGUGCUAGAGUAACUGUUACCGCCUUGACGGUACCUAACCAGAAAGCCACGGCUAACUACGUG